rnacentral:rRNA from 1 species
GUCGUAACAAGGUUUCCGUAGGUGAACCUGCGGAAGGAUCAUUACUGAAUUGUCGACACGAGUUGUUGCUGGCCCUCAACAGGGGCACGUGCACGCUCUGUUUUCGCAUCCACUCACACUUGUGCACCUUCUGUAGUUCUAUGGUCUGGGAUGGGAGAUCCCAUUUCCCUUCCGUGGUUCUGCAUCUUUACACACACGCUGUAACAAAGUUUUAUGGAAUGUACGCCGCGUUUAACGCAAUACAAUACAACUUUCAGCAACGGAUCUCUUGGCUCUCGCAUCGAUGAAGAACGCAGCGAAAUGCGAUAAGUAAUGUGAAUUGCAGAAUUCAGUGAAUCAUCGAAUCUUUGAACGCACCUUGCGCCCUUUGGCUAUUCCGAAGGGCAUGCCUGUUUGAGUAUCAUGAACACCUCAACUCUUGCGGUCCUUCCGCGAUGAGCUUGGAUUCUGGAGGUUUUGUUGGCCCGCGGUCAGCUCCUCUCAAAUAAAGCAGCUUGCCAGUGUUUGGUGGCACCACGGGUGUGAUAACUAUCUACGCUCAUGGCUGCUCGCCAGGUUACUUCCAGCAGUGGAGGUUCGCUGGAGCUUAUAAACGUCCCCUCGGCGGAGACAGCUUUUUGAACGUUCGAUCUCAAAUCAGGUAGGAUUACCCGCUGAACUUAAGCAUAUCAAUAAGCGGAGGAAAAGAAACUAACAAGGAUUCCCCUAGUAACUGCGAGUGAAGCGGGAAGAGCUCAAAUUUAAAAUCUGGCGUGCCUCUGGUCGUCCGAGUUGUAGUCUGGAGAAGCGUUUUCCGUGCU